rnacentral:rRNA from 1 species
GACGAACGCUGGCGGCGCGCUUAACACAUGCAAUUCGAACGGAAAGGCCUGCUUUCCCUUGUGGUUUGCGGGUACUCGAGUGGCGAACGGGUGAGUAACACGUGAGUGAUCUGCCCCCAACUUGGGAAUAAGCCUGGGAAACUGGGUCUAAUUCCCGAUAGGACUGCAGGGUGGUGCCUGUGGUGGAAAACGAUUUUCUAGUGGUUGGGGAUGAGCUCGCGGCCUAUCAGCUUGUUGGUGGGGUAUUGGCCUACCAAGGCGGCGACGGGUAGCCGGCCUGAGAGGGUGGACGGCCACAUUGGGACUGAGAUACGGCCCAGACUCCUACGGGAGGCAGCAGUGGGGAAUAUUGCACAAUGGGCGGAAGCCUGAUGCAGCGACGCCGCGUGGGGGAUGACGGCCUUCGGGUUGUAAACUCCUUUCGACCGCGAGGAAGCCACCUGGUUGGAAGGGUGGUGACGGUAGUGGUAGAAGAAGCACCGGCUAACUACGUG